rnacentral:rRNA from 1 species
UUAAGCGACUAAGCGUACACGGUGGAUGCCCUGGCAGUCAGAGGCGAUGAAGGACGUGCUAAUCUGCGAUAAGCGUCGGUGAGGUGAUAUGAACCGUUAUAACCGGCGAUUUCCGAAUGGGGAAACCCAGUGUGUUUCGACACACUAUCAUUAACUGAAUCCAUAGGUUAAUGAGGCGAACCGGGGGAACUGAAACAUCUAAGUACCCCGAGGAAAAGAAAUCAACCGAGAUUCCCCCAGUAGCGGCGAGCGAACGGGGAGGAGCCCAGAGCCUGAAUCAGUGUGUGUGUUAGUGGAAGCGUCUGGAAAGGCGUGCGAUACAGGGUGACAGCCCCGUACACAAAAAUGCACAUAUUGUGAGCUCGAUGAGUAGGGCGGGACACGUGGUAUCCUGUCUGAAUAUGGGGGGACCAUCCUCCAAGGCUAAAUACUCCUGACUGACCGAUAGUGAACCAGUACCGUGAGGGAAAGGCGAAAAGAACCCCGGCGAGGGGAGUGAAAAAGAACCUGAAACCGUGUACGUACAAGCAGUGGGAGCCUCUUAAUGGGGUGACUGCGUACCUUUUGUAUAAUGGGUCAGCGACUUAUAUUCUGUAGCAAGGUUAACCGAAUAGGGGAGCCGAAGGGAAACCGAGUCUUAACUGGGCGUUAAGUUGCAGGGUAUAGACCCGAAACCCGGUGAUCUAGCCAUGGGCAGGUUGAAGGUUGGGUAACACUAACUGGAGGACCGAACCGACUAAUGUUGAAAAAUUAGCGGAUGACUUGUGGCUGGGGGGGAAAGGCCAAUCAAACCGGGAGAUAGCUGGUUCUCCCCGAAAGCUAUUUAGGUAGCGCCUCGUGAAUUCAUCUCCGGGGGUAGAGCACUGUUUCGGCAAGGGGGUCAUCCCGACUUACCAACCCGAUGCAAACUGCGAAUACCGGAGAAUGUUAUCACGGGAGACACACGGCGGGUGCUAACGUCCGUCGUGAAGAGGGAAACAACCCAGACCGCCAGCUAAGGUCCCAAAGUCAUGGUUAAGUGGGAAACGAUGUGGGAAGGCCCAGACAGCCAGGAUGUUGGCUUAGAAGCAGCCAUCAUUUAAAGAAAGCGUAAUAGCUCACUGGUCGAGUCGGCCUGCGCGGAAGAUGUAACGGGGCUAAACCAUGCACCGAAGCUGCGGCAGCGACACUAUGUGUUGUUGGGUAGGGGAGCGUUCUGUAAGCCUGUGAAGGUGGCCUGUGAGGGUUGCUGGAGGUAUCAGAAGUGCGAAUGCUGACAUAAGUAACGAUAAAGCGGGUGAAAAGCCCGCUCGCCGGAAGACCAAGGGUUCCUGUCCAACGUUAAUCGGGGCAGGGUGAGUCGACCCCUAAGGCGAGGCCGAAAGGCGUAGUCGAUGGGAAACAGGUUAAUAUUCCUGUACUUGGUGUUACUGCGAAGGGGGGACGGAGAAGGCUAUGUUGGCCGGGCGACGGUUGUCCCGGUUUAAGCGUGUAGGCUGGUUUUCCAGGCAAAUCCGGAAAACCAAGGCUGAGGCGUGAUGACGAAGCACUACGGUGCUGAAGCGACAAAUGCCCUGCUUCCAGGAAAAGCCUCUAAGCAUCAGGUAACAUCAAAUCGUACCCCAAACCGACACAGGUGGUCAGGUAGAGAAUACCAAGGCGCUUGAGAGAACUCGGGUGAAGGAACUAGGCAAAAUGGUGCCGUAACUUCGGGAGAAGGCACGCUGAUAUGUAGGUGAAGCGACUUGCUCGUGGAGCUGAAAUCAGUCGAAGAUACCAGCUGGCUGCAACUGUUUAUUAAAAACACAGCACUGUGCAAACACGAAAGUGGACGUAUACGGUGUGACGCCUGCCCGGUGCCGGAAGGUUAAUUGAUGGGGUUAGCGGCAACGCGAAGCUCUUGAUCGAAGCCCCGGUAAACGGCGGCCGUAACUAUAACGGUCCUAAGGUAGCGAAAUUCCUUGUCGGGUAAGUUCCGACCUGCACGAAUGGCGUAAUGAUGGCCAGGCUGUCUCCACCCGAGACUCAGUGAAAUUGAACUCGCUGUGAAGAUGCAGUGUACCCGCGGCAAGACGGAAAGACCCCGUGAACCUUUACUAUAGCUUGACACUGAACAUUGAGCCUUGAUGUGUAGGAUAGGUGGGAGGCUUUGAAGUGUGGACGCCAGUCUGCAUGGAGCCGACCUUGAAAUACCACCCUUUAAUGUUUGAUGUUCUAACGUUGGCCCGUAAUCCGGGUUGCGGACAGUGUCUGGUGGGUAGUUUGACUGGGGCGGUCUCCUCCUAAAGAGUAACGGAGGAGCACGAAGGUUGGCUAAUCCUGGUCGGACAUCAGGAGGUUAGUGCAAUGGCAUAAGCCAGCUUGACUGCGAGCGUGACGGCGCGAGCAGGUGCGAAAGCAGGUCAUAGUGAUCCGGUGGUUCUGAAUGGAAGGGCCAUCGCUCAACGGAUAAAAGGUACUCCGGGGAUAACAGGCUGAUACCGCCCAAGAGUUCAUAUCGACGGCGGUGUUUGGCACCUCGAUGUCGGCUCAUCACAUCCUGGGGCUGAAGUAGGUCCCAAGGGUAUGGCUGUUCGCCAUUUAAAGUGGUACGCGAGCUGGGUUUAGAACGUCGUGAGACAGUUCGGUCCCUAUCUGCCGUGGGCGCUGGAGAACUGAGGGGGGCUGCUCCUAGUACGAGAGGACCGGAGUGGACGCAUCACUGGUGUUCGGGUUGUCAUGCCAAUGGCACUGCCCGGUAGCUAAAUGCGGAAGAGAUAAGUGCUGAAAGCAUCUAAGCACGAAACUUGCCCCGAGAUGAGUUCUCCCUGAGACUUAGAGUCUCCUGAAGGAACGUUGAAGACGACGACGUUGAUAGGCCGGGUGUGUAAGCGCAGCGAUGCGUUGAGCUAACCGGUACUAAUGAACCGUGAGGCUUAACCUU